UACACUGUUCUGUAAUAUUGCUCCGAGGAAGUGUGAUGACAUUUCUUUAGAUGCAGAGUGCGUUUAGUAUGUUGGAGAAGAAUGGCUUUUAUUCUGCUUUGUCACAGCCUCGGGAGGGAGAAACAGGCAAAAAUCAUUUAUGGCUAAAAGAUCCAGCAAAAAUUGUCUUCUAAUGAAUUUAAGCUCUGGAUACGCUGUACACAAAGGUGUAUAUAGAAGUGGAAAAGGUGAUAUCCUUACCCAAAUUUGAAAGUUUGUGUGGUAAAACAAAUCAACCCAACCUCACUGAUGCAAAGUUGUUCUUCCUGAGCGGUUGUUUCUUCAAGUGUGCAGAGGAGUUGUUUCCUGUUUCAGCUGAAGAUGCUACAUAUGGACUCAGACAUUUGCUAGUUGAUAUGAUGUGGUUUAACAGCAAUGGACAAAUGGAAAACAUUGUAAUAUGUGAGGAAAAUAAGGAAUGCAAAGAUCAGGUGAACUGUCAAGAGCCACACACAUUACAGCGGGGCUGAAGAACUCCAAAUACUCUCAUCCUUGGUCUGAAAACACACGUGAUUUAGUAGGUAGGUCUGUUGUCCUCCGAUGUCUUUGCAAGACUAUUGAUUUGGGAUGAUGGCAGAUAAAUAUGACCACACUUACCUGAUACUGUUGUUGAACAUCUAUUUUGGAAUUUUAAAUUUUCAUUUUUGGGGGGUAGAGUUCUCCCUUUCCCCAAUUAAAAAUGUGAGUAAUUUUUAAAAAGAUGCUUUUUUAAUUUAUUUACAAGAUUGGUCAUCAAAACGAAACUGGUGCCAUCACAAAAGAUACACUUGAAAAUGUUCCACAGAAGAUAAAAAAUUCUCACAAAAAGUAUUUUUUAAAUAUCUAGAUGUUUUGAAGCAACACAGAAGUUGCUAUGCUGUGGGAUUUGCUUUCCUAAUUGUGUCUUAUUACGUUAAGAAUAAAAGUUACCUUGCAAGGG
ensembl:lncRNA